GAUGAACGCUGGCGGCGUGCUUAACACAUGCAAGUCGAACGGUGAAGGCGGAGCUUGCUCUGCUGGAUCAGUGGCGAACGGGUGAGUAACACGUGAGCAAUCUGCCCCUGACUCUGGGAUAAGCGCUGGAAACGGCGUCUAAUACUGGAUACGAGCUGCGAAGGCAUCUUCAGCAGCUGGAAAGAACUUCGGUCAGGGAUGAGCUCGCGGCCUAUCAGCUUGUUGGUGAGGUAACGGCUCACCAAGGCGUCGACGGGUAGCCGGCCUGAGAGGGUGACCGGCCACACUGGGACUGAGACACGGCCCAGACUCCUACGGGAGGCAGCAGUGGGGAAUAUUGCACAAUGGGCGAAAGCCUGAUGCAGCAGCGCCGCGUGAGGGACGACGGCCUUCGGGUUGUAAACCUCUUUUAGCAGGGAAGAAGCGAAAGUGACGGUACCUGCAGAAAAAGCGCCGGCUAACUACGU
rnacentral:rRNA from 1 species